rnacentral:pre_miRNA from 1 species
GGGGGGAGGCCGGAUCUUGGGCUGUGUCCUGGCGCCCUGUGUUCCGGGGCCUGGGCUCUUGGAUUCUCGCUCCAAGCCCGCAGCCCCCU